CAGCAAGAUCCUUGAGGGGAAAAAGCCAUGCUGACAGAGUUAUGGAAACCUGUGACUAUUGAAACAGGCCACAGGGUGGCACCAUCUACCCACACAAAACAAGCAGCUGGCUGUAACUCCGAAAGUUCCCCAAGCUGAACCAAGUUCACUGAUUUUCCGUGUGGAGCGAGUACAGGGUCUGGAGGCUGGAUGAUGGUGAACAUGAAGGUUUUCUUACUGGGUACAACAUUUGCUAAAUAGGCUGGAGACAGAGCAGGAAGGAGGAGAAGAUCCAGUCCAGCCUCCAGGAAAGAAGCCUCACCCCUCCCAUCUCACUUCACUGAUACACCGACUUGCACCACGUCUCAGAUAAUACCAACACUUUGAACUGUCAGCUCCUCUCCCCUGGAGGCCUCAGUGUAUUUUACAAAGGUUCUGAGCUUCUUCCACCCAACUGUGCCGAGGAGGACGGAGAACCAGCUAAGGCAGUGGGAUCCUGGGUUUGCUCCCUGGACUGGGGAUUUCGGAUGGAGAGCUGAAGCAUGAAGGCCAAAG